CCCCAAUUCCUUUUCCUCCAUCUCAGCAGGACUGAACUUCUUGGAGGGGCGUGAGAGUGGCCCUUCUCAGCUGCUGGCAGGAAAGUUUCUCCAGGCCCUACACAGACACUGCUUCUUUGGGGGAAGAGGGGGAGAGAGAGAGACAUAUGGGCCAGCCCUGCGGGCCAAGUAGCCAAAUAACUGUGGCUACUCUUCAAUGGAGUUGUGAUUGCUUCAGUGGAGUAUAGCCAGAAACUCAUCCACUCUUUUUCCUGUGAAAUUGUUGUCCAUGACCUCUCAUGAACCCUCUAUCACUGGUCUGUCCACCAUUGGAGGCCUUCCUCAAGGGCUUUUAAUGCAUGGUGGGUGAUGGGCACAAGUAUGGCCCUCAGACUAUCCAUCUGUAUCCCUCCUUCUUGCUUCAAGACUGAACCACAUCCUCUCCUGAUCAUCCAUUUCCUGUCAAACUACCACCACCGACUUGGCCAUCGUCUCCUCUCAGACUGGGAUGAAGACAGCUCGGAAUCCUGUGCCUAGGACUUUGGAAUAGCAGUCCCCUACUCCUCAAGACCAGACUUCACCACUCGGGGAGGACAUGAUCUUUAGUAGAACCGCAGCUAGUAAUAUUUGGACGUGGGAUUUUGCAGACCAUGCUCAAGGCAAACAGUAUGAAAAGUAUCCUCAGACGAAGGUUUAGAGAUGAAGCAUCAGACACAUUUUUGCUCAAAGGAAGGAAUCAAAAUGGCAGUCCCUGCUUCAGCAGACUGAAGAGGACUUUGGUGGCUCAGGGCUUACAGUGGGGAGCCCCACUGGGAGACAGAGGUCUCUGAUGGCGUUUGGAGAAUCGUAAAACCCAAGAAGUCGAGAGUUAGAAGGCGUCUCAAUGACUCUCUAGAAUCCAUUUCCAUGGCUCGGUAUCCUGAAUUCCUUAGAUGAGGAAACCGAGUAAGGCCCAGGGAAACUAAGUGAUUUGUAAAUGUGGAAUCAUUGAUGUGGAGCUGGAAGAGAGUUCAGAGGUCAUCAAGUCUGACCUUCAUCUUACAGAGAAAGAAGCAGGCCCUAAGAUCCAGAAGCGGUGACUUGACCAUGAUCAUAUUGGUGGUGAGCAAUAAAGCCAGGAUUUGAACCCA